rnacentral:rRNA from 1 species
AUUGAACGCUGGCGGCAGGCUUAACACAUGCAAGUCGAGCGGGGGAAGGUAGCUUGCUACCGGACCUAGCGGCGGACGGGUGAGUAAUGCUUAGGAAUCUACCUAUUAGUGGGGGACAACAUCUCGAAAGGGAUGCUAAUACCGCAUACGUCCUACGGGAGAAAGCAGGGGAUCUUCGGACCUUGCGCUAAUAGAUGAGCCUAAGUCGGAUUAGCUAGUUGGUGGGGUAAAGGCCUACCAAGGCGACGAUCUGUAGCGGGUCGGAGAGGAUGGACCGCCACACUGGGACUGAGACACGGCCCAGACUCCUACGGGAGGCAGCAGUGGGGAAUAUUGGACAAUGGGGGGAACCCUGAUCCAGCCAUGCCGCGUGUGUGAAGAAGGCCUUAUGGUUGUAAAGCACUUUAAGCGAGGAGGAGGCUACUCUAGUUAAUACCUAGGGAUAGUGGACGUUACUCGCAGAAUAAGCACCGGCUAACUCUGUGCCAGCCGCCGCAGUAA